UAGAGAAGUGAAUACGUAAAUGAUUAGGGAAUGUUUCAUACCUAUCGAAAAUAUGAAUCAGAUAACUCUCCAUUCUGAAAAAAUAUGUUCUCAUGUAAACGUUAUACGAUCUCAAGAAUAUGUUGAAAAAAUUUAACAACCUCAAAAACGGUAAAAUCAAAGCCCAUUUUCAAUCAAAAAUUUCCACCGAGUCAUGACAAUAUUAGAAGAUUAAAAAGAAAUGUUCCAGAAUAUCCAUUUUCUAUUUAUAUUUCUCACCGGAGUAGCAUCAUUCCCGAAGUCACGGGUCACUUGCCCAAACCCAUAUUUCGAAGAGGGUUGGAAAAAAUAUGGCGAUUGUAUGGAUGAUUGCUUUGACAAGUGCAUAUACAAAGGAGAAAUAGGUUUUUAUUGUACACAUGAAGUAGAUAAGAAAUUUCAUUGUUUUUGCGGUACAAUAGGAGAAACAGUGACUUAUUUUGAAUUCCAGACAGAGAAGCUGACAAAAAGCGUCUUGUUCAGGAAUUGAUUUUCUAACAGGGAAGAUCGCUAUAGUGUUUUAAUUAUUACGAGGCACGAGUAUGGAGUAUUUUUUGAUCAAGCUUAGAUAUGUAUUGGUCUUAAUGGGCCAUUGAAAAUAAAGAAGUUCGAGAAGAGUUGCGAAGAGAUCACCUGAUACGUGGUAUGUUGGAUAAAAAAAAGAGGUGUCCCUAAAAAGGCUACUCUUCAUUUUGAGCAGAUUUUUGAGCUACGUACCGUAGAUUUUUAUAAAUACAAAUGUAACUUCAAAUCCUUCACUUUACAUUGACCUAGUUGAUUUCCCCCUUCCCCAAUUAAUUGAAAAAUAUUAAACGAAAAUGAUCUCAUUCGGAAUACUUAGCUAUCCAGCUUUACGAAGACUGCUUUACAUUUUAAAAGAAGAUAAUGUAUUAUUUUGAAGAAAGGUUAUCUAAUAAUAUUUUUUCAUAAAAUUUACUUUACCAAAAUCUCUUUUUGAGACCUGAAAGACUCUGAACACGCUUAUUUGGCACCUUUAAAGUGUUUUGAUACUUCUAAACAAUGUGUUUUUUUUUGGAAUAAUUUCUUAUAUUUCACUGUUUGUUUACAGUGGCUUCAUUAGGAACCUACGUACAAUAUUCAUUUUUAAUAUGGAUGUCCAAAUUUUCAUGAAUUAUACAUACUUUUAGUAUUUUCUAGCAUCCUUGAAAAUUUGAAAAAAUUCAAUUGAAAACUGCCAAAGAUGAAAUUUUUAAGCAGAAAAGUCAAUUUCAUUCUUUUGGAGGGGGUAGGGAGUAAUCUAUUGAUCUGAAAUUCUGGUCGCGGAGGUAAAUUGAAUUAUUAUUGAAAUCAAUUUAGCUGUAAAACCUCUUACCUACUGUUGUUGAAAAGUACAUUAUAACCAUUAGGUAUACCUAAGCAAUAAACUCUUCUUAUUCUUUUUCAAAUAACGUGGAUUUAAAAAAUUUUGAGAUACAAACCACAUCUAAGGUGAAAGUAUAAACUCUGGUUGGAAAAUGCCCCAUAAAAAAUGUGAAAUCGCUAGAUCGAAGAUCAUUCAAUUUACUUCAACGUUAGUUACUUUUGGACAAAUCAAUGUUUUAUAUGUAAAACGCUAAUCUGUUUAUUCAAUUUUCACUCUCAUCGUAAUAGCUAAUAUUGAAAACUUCUCAAGUAGGUAGGUACCUAGAUUCGAAAUUUUUGACCUACAACCAAUCUGAUUAAGCGUAUGUACAUAUUUCACGUAAUUUCAGAUAAAGAAGAGAAUUAUCGAGGUAGGUAAUUAAGGAAUGUUUCAUAUCGAAAAUACGUAUAAAGCAGAUAACUCUCGAUUUUAAAAUGAUGAUACAUGUUUAUAAGAAAGUGUUGAAAGUUGAAAUACUUCAAAACGAUGAAAUCGCAGCCUUUUUUUCAGAAUAAUCGUCACCAAACCAUGCUGAUAGUAAAAAAUUAAGCAAUCAAUUGUUGGAAAUGUUUCAGAAUAUUUAUUUACUAUUCAUAAUAUUCGUUGUUGGAGUGACGUCAUUAAAAGAGCCACCAAUGCCACCACACAAUCCAUCUUCAUACCGCUCAAAGGGUUGGAAAAAAAUAGACAAAUGUUUAGAAGAGUGCUUUUCCGAGUGCAUUUCCCCAUGGGAAUUGAAUUAUUACUGUUCAAAAGAAAAGGAUAAGAAAUUUCAUUGUUUUUGUGGUAUAAAUCCAAUCGGACCUACAGUGACUUUCGCAGUAGAGGGGACGACAUAAAGUGUUUAAUUCGAGAACUUGUUUUUCAGCAAUGAAAUCAAUGGCGUUUGAAUUGUGUAUACUCAUUGAGUAUUUUUUGAUCUACAUAAAAGGGCAAUUAAAAUAAAAAAGUUCGAGAAGAGUUUUCAAGAAAACAGACCAAAGUAUCCCUUAAAGUUGGCCAUAUUUAUGCUGGGUGAAAAUUACUAAUGACUAGCAUAAGGAUUGAUUAACUCUGAUUUUUAGUAGUUGGUUUUUAUAUUAAAAAAAUUGUCUAAUUUCAGUAUAAAGCACCUUCUUAUAAAAAAAUAAAUUUUUUACGUUUUUA